CCCUUAGAUGUUCUGGGCCGCACGCGCGCUACACUGAUGCAUUCAACGAGUCUAAAACCUGGUCUGAGAGGGCUGGGUAAUCUUUUGAAAGUGCAUCGUGAUUGGGAUAGAUGAUUGCAAUUCUUCAUCUUCAACGAGGAAUGCCUAGUAAACGCAAGUCAUCAGCUUGCAUUGAUUACGUCCCUGCCCUUUGUACACACCGCCCGUCGCUCCUACCGAUUGAACGAUCCGAUGAAAACUGUGGAUUGAGAGUCUGAGUGGGUUCGCCUACCUCAACUUUCGGGAAGCGGUUUAAAUCUUAUCGUUUAGAGGAAGGAGAAGUCGUAACA
rnacentral:rRNA from 1 species